rnacentral:lncRNA from 1 species
GGGGCAAGUAUGGACACAACAUUCAAGCUUGAUACAGCUCUGAAUUUGGAUUGUGAUAAAAUAGUUGACACAGCAAAGGUUCCUGACACAUAAUGAAUAUGGUCUUAUGAACUUAAAAAUUUUGUUUUGCAUUUGAGCAAUACACUAUGCUGUUGAAUAUUAAUCCCCUCAAAAAAAAAAUAUUUGAAGAAAAAUUCUUUUUAAUUUCUG